rnacentral:misc_RNA from 1 species
AAGUCGUAACAAGGUUUCCGUAGGUGAACCUGCGGAAGGAUCAUUAUUAAUACUUGGAUAACACCAACAUUUCAUGUGCAACUAUCCCUGACGCUGCUAGCAUUUGCCUAGUGGAUGCCUCCGGGCUACACUAGUCAUACCUAGCAGCAGUCUCGCUGUUUACAGUGGGGCAAACCGGUUUCCCCGAUGUCCUUGGGCAAGAGGGAAUCCGAAACCUUUAUACAUCAGUCUUAAAUCCGUCAUCAGGGAAUAGCCGCAAGGCAUGACCUGCUCUGACUAUAAAAGGGUAAAAAACUUUUAGCAACGGAUCUCUAGGCUCUC